UACGAAGGGUGCUAGCGUUGUUCGGAAUCACUGGGCGUAAAGCGCGCGUAGGCGGCUUUGCAAGUCAGGGGUGAAAUCCCACGGCUCAACCGUGGAACUGCCUUUGAAACUGCAUGGCUGGAGUGUCGGAGGGGAUAGCGGAAUUGCUAAUGUAGAGGUGAAAUUCGUAGAUAUUAGCAGGAACACCGGUGGCGAAGGCGGCUAUCUGGACGACAACUGACGCUGAGGCGCGAAAGCGUGGGGAUCAAACAGG
rnacentral:rRNA from 1 species